GAGCCUCUGGACCCCACACAGGUAGAGAGUACCAGAUCACUUAGAGGACUCAGCCCCGAAGGCUUUGAGUUUUUGAUAUUCAUGCUGACUUACACUGGCCAUGCUGGGGAAGGAAGGAAGGAAGGAAGGAAGGAAGGAAGGAAGGAAGGAAGGAAGGAAGGAAGGCUAAGGGCUUCAGCACAUCAUGGUGCUGGAAGAAAGAAUUGUCUGUUUUUAGUUCCCACCAAAGGCAAUAAUGCUGCAGAAAGGUUAUAAAGCUGCCCUCCUCUUGCAGAAGUUGAAGUGACAGCCAUUCAAUCCAGCUCAGUCAAGUGGUCUCAGGUCCCAUUUCUAGAGAAACAGACAAUGAUAAAUUGAACAAUGCAGGUGGGCUGGUGAGAGAACAAUGGAAGGAACAACCCACAAUGGGGAAGAGAGGUCCUGCAGCUGUAUCUGCUUUGUCUCCUUUCUUGGUAAGUCCCACUUGAGGCAGGACAUGACUUAACACUCAGGAGAGGUUGUAAAGGCUCAGCAUUAUUUUCCAGAAAUAUUUUUAAACUCCCCCCGCCCGUUUUUUUUUUUUUUUCCAGUUGUUGCCAGCCUCAAGUUCUCAGUGAUCUGUUGAUAUAUCAGGAAAAUAAGCAAAGUAUUUGCACUCAUGUCAAUCUAAAUGAAAACCAUCUCUCUGGAUUUUUUUUUUUUUUUUUAGCUUUUUGCAAGUAUUAUUUUAUCGUUUUGUUUCUCUUUUAAUCCUCCUUUGUUUCAUUUGGCAGCCGCGACAAUAGUUUCUAGCCUCUGGCAAGGAAAAUGGAUGAGCAAAUAUUCUCUGUCUUGGAAGUUAAAUGCAUCGCCCCAGUGACAGGCCUCUCCUGCUUUCCAGCUACCAUGAAUCCUGAGCCUACUCUUAAAUUGCAUCUUAGAUACUUCAUGUACAGAUUGUUGCGAGCAUCUCUUCUGACAUCCUUCAUGACAUAUAACAAAGAAUUGAACCUGAAAUGCCACCACUCUAUCAAUGUUUCAAAGGACCCCUUGGUGAGGAAUAAUGCCUCUCCUCCAAGAAACUGAUUCUAGGUUGAGGUCACAUUCCCCCUUGGGUGAGUUUGCAGUGACUGAGUUGUAACAUGGAAUACAACUUCAAGGCAGAAAUAAUGGUGGAACUGGGGAAAAGGUUUACGUGACAAUGCAGUCAGAACUCUGCUCAGUCUUGUGAUUUUGUGUUAAUUUUCCUCGUUGCUGGGGUGUUUCUUGUCAUUGUUGUCGUUGUUUUUGUUUGUUUGUUUGUUUGUUUGUUUAAUUUGGUUGUGGUUUUGGUUUUGUUCUGUUUUGUUUUUUUCCUUCUAAAAUACUUUGCGAUUCUCUGUGUUCUAAAACUGGUAUAAUCAUGACUUUUCAGGAUUUUCUUCACUGCUUUUUCUAUUUCUUAAUGACCAAAACCAGUAGGUACAUCGGUACAUGUGAACAAUAACUAACUUGUAUGAUUUUUUCUUGGUUUUUCUUGAGUUUGUUGCAGCUGUAUCAUAGAAGUUUCAUAGCUACUGUAUAGACCUCAACGAAAACAUAAAUUCUUCUACAGUGUUUUAGCAUGUCCUCAGCCCCCACCCUAAUUAACACUGAAUAUUAUAGAAUCCAAUAGCUUUUUUUGAAUAAACAAUCUGCAAGAAAACUGAAUUGCAGUAGUAUCUUAGAAAUUUAGUAUAGAUGCUUUGCAGUGGACUCAGUACAAAUGUUUCAUUUUAAACACUUUUGGCUUUCCCCACACUCUUAAUAGUCUGGCCUCAAAUACCACCUCAAAAUGACAUUUCUGGCUCAGAAAAUCUGAAAACCAUGGAUUGCUGGAGGCUGAGAAAGCGUCAUUGUAUGCUUGACCUAUUUUACUCCUUAUACAGGCAUCUGUUGCUGGCCAUUGUUGGAGAUGAACUGUGGUUGUUCUUCUGGUCUCCAUUUCUCUGAUAAUUUAUAUAUGUGCAUAUGCAUUCUUUAAGGGUACCCACAUAUUAGCUUUCUUCAGCUUUUCCGAGUAAGUUUUCAAACCCUUAUCAUUCAGGCUAAACACAGCAGCUAUAUUACUAUGGUAAAUGGUUGCAUGAUGAUAUUUUCCCUUUUUCUGGUGCUACAAAGGCAGUGUUCAUUAAAUACAGGAAUAUUCUGUUUAUAUUUUAUGUUUGGGAAAUCAAACUAGCCUCAAAUAUGCUCAAAUUCUCUUCAUGUUUCUGUCACAGAAAAUAGCUGUCAUUUGUUUGUAUAUAUAUUUCCAGUGAACAGAAAUGUUUUUUGGGAAAAGAACAACAUAAAAGCUAGAAGGAAGUUGUAGAUGAUGUUAAUUUAUAUUAAUGGAGGGUAGUAUUAACCAUCAGGCUCGUUAGAGUCAACCUGAAUUAAAACACAUGCUAUGGACUUAAAAUGAGUAGUACUUAUUACCGUGCUUUUACUGUCCUUCAAAGUCUAUGAUUUUGUCCAGCCCCAAUUACUUACCCAUGGAUGCAUAUAUGAGUGCAAUGAUACCCUUAGAUCCAAGGCUUGAGGGCACUUCUACAUGUUGGCUAUUGAGACAAUUUUCAUGAAAUUCAAGUAAUCAAAUGGCAGACUUUGAUAAGAUUCAGAUGAAGAAAGGCUUCUGGGUUUUUUUUUGUCUGUUUGUUUGUAUCAAUUUUUCCAGCAGCAGUAGACCCAUCUGGUCCCCUUCAAUGUUCUUGUAUUACAGCCAGCAGAACCCUGGAACAAAUUUAGUAUAAGUUAAAUUGAUUUAUAAUUGAAUAAAAUAAAUAAUCUAUUUUCUUGUUUCUGUUUUACUUGAUUGGAGAUAUCCAAGACAUCAAAAUAUGAACAC